rnacentral:lncRNA from 1 species
UUGUAGUUGGUCUUAGUGAAGACUAUGCUUUUAGGUUUAGGUUUUUGCAUUUAAGCCGAAUUUAAUGUAUUGGAUUUGACAAAUCUACAUCCAUGAUCAAUCUUUGCCCCUUAGCACAUGAAAUGACUACAUUCAUGUUAAACAACUUAACACAUUAGCAUAACAAAGCAAUAGUUUCCUGUUUUAAAUUACUUAAUGCAUACUAUAUAAAUUCUUAUAAAAUACAAAUGAGUCAUGAUCUUAUUAUCACCUAAUCUUCUCUCUUUGAAGAGAGAGAGAGAGAGAGUAGCUAGGUCACAGACUGAAUAGUAAAAACUGUUUCAAAAAGUUGUACAGCCAGGCAAGACUAGACCAGAGACAAGUUUCUUAAAAAACAAAACCUUUUUUCCUGCUGCAAUAACAUGCCCAAUCCAUGUACCAGCAAUAUUAUUCCCUUCUUGUGACUCCUUUGUCUCUUUUCUUCAUUUGUCACCUACCUUAAUUCACAUUAUCAUCUCUAUUUUAAGCAUAUAUCAUAUGCUUCAAUUCUCCAUUGAAGAAUUAAACUUGAACAUUUUUUGUUGCAAAUUAAAUGAUCUUCUUUCAUUUCCUCCAACACCAAGAAAAUCUCUAGUCAAAUCCGUAUCACGCGACUCGUUUACACCAUUUCCAUUAAUUCGCUUCGACGAAUUCAUCAUCAUCAUUAGUCCAUCCCCAUUGUGAUCAUGAGUCGACGAAUCAAAAUUCGAGAGACUUGUACUCAUGAGCCCGAACCCGGUAGUUUCAUCUAAAUUGGUACUUCUUGUUGACCCCAUUUGAGCCGCUUUUUGUAAUAGCGCGGUUGCUGACAUGUGACCUGGAGGUUGUGGCGCAGCCAUGGUUGAAGUAGUGUAGUUAUACAAAGAAUCCAAUUGCAUUUCUCGUUUCCCACCUUCUUCCUCUUUCAAAUACGAUCCAGAAUACGGUCCUACCAUCGGUUCUUGGCUUCCAUUCAACCAUUGCACCAUUUCGGGUGGCAGCAUUCCGCCAUUGUUAUUGUUGUUCGAACUUGAUGACCCCAAAAAGGUUGAGCUACUAGGGUUUUCCAAAUGUGGUGCAUUCUCAUUUUGGUCUAACCAAACUGGCAAUCUGGGCUUCUCCGAAUUCGGAUCAAGAUUAACUCCUAACAUCCCACCACCAAACAUCCCCGGAAACCGCAUCCCAUCACCGCCACCACCACCGUUCAUCGCCAUCAAGUCGUGUCGAAAGUUGAGAUUCACACUAGUCGACAUAAUCGGAAAUGAAGCCAUUCUCGAGUUUUCUUCGGUUAACGCAUCACAAAAUGCUCUAUGCGUUAUAAAGCUGUCUUUCCUGCAAAAGAUUGUUCCACAAUCACACUUGUACUCUCUAGUACCACAAAUUUUGCUAUGAGCUUUCCAGUCUGACUGAACCGCGUACUUCUUCGAACACUUUUCGCACUUCCACUUCUUCUCUCCAUGUUUUCGGCUAUAAUGCUUCUUAACUCCGGUGAGAUCUCCGAGAGCUCGUGAUGGAUCAUGAUGAACACAACUUACCUCCGGGCAAAUAUAAACCUUUUUCUUCACAACUUCAAGUUUGUUUCUUUGCUUUAGCUUCCAUGGUAGAUUGUGUCCUCUUCUAUGAAGCUGCAAAUUCUGGUCUCUUUGA